AUCUGCCCGAUAGUGGGGGACAACGUUUCGAAAGGAACGCUAAUACCGCAUACGUCCUACGGGAGAAAGCAGGGGACCUUCGGGCCUUGCGCUAUCGGAUGAGCCUAGGUCGGAUUAGCUAGUUGGUGGGGUAAAGGCUCACCAAGGCGACGAUCCGUAACUGGUCUGAGAGGAUGAUCAGUCACACUGGAACUGAGACACGGUCCAGACUCCUACGGGAGGCAGCAGUGGGGAAUAUUGGACAAUGGGCGAAAGCCUGAUCCAGCCAUGCCGCGUGUGUGAAGAAGGUCUUCGGAUUGUAAAGCACUUUAAGCUGGGAGGAAGGGCAGUAAGUUAAUACCUUGCUGUUUUGACGUUACCAGCAGAAUAAGCACCGGCUAACUUCGUGCCAGCAGCCGCGGUAAUACGAAGGGUGCAAGCGUUAAUCGGA
rnacentral:rRNA from 1 species